rnacentral:tRNA from 1 species
AUUUCUAUUUAUAUAGUUUAAAUAAAACAUUAUACUUUCAUUGUAAAAUUAAACAUCGUUUUAUAAA